rnacentral:rRNA from 1 species
GAUGAACGCUGGCGGCGUGCCUAAUACAUGCAAGUCGAGCGAACAGACGAGGAGCUUGCUCCUCUGACGUUAGCGGCGGACGGGUGAGUAACACGUGGAUAACCUACCUAUAAGACUGGGAUAACUUCGGGAAACCGGAGCUAAUACCGGAUAACAUGUUGAACCGCAUGGUUCAACGGUGAAAGACGGUCUUGCUGUCGCUUAUAGAUGGAUCCGCGCCGCAUUAGCUAGUUGGUAAGGUAACGGCUUACCAAGGCAACGAUGCGUAGCCGACCUGAGAGGGUGAUCGGCCACACUGGAACUGAGACACGGUCCAGACUCCUACGGGAGGCAGCAGUAGGGAAUCUUCCGCAAUGGGCGAAAGCCUGACGGAGCAACGCCGCGUGAGUGAAGAAGGUCUUCGGAUCGUAAAACUCUGUUAUUAGGGAAGAACAAAUGUGUAAGUAACUAUGCACGUCUUGACGGUACCUAAUCAGAAAGCCACGGCUAACUACGUG